rnacentral:lncRNA from 1 species
GUCCCGGACAUGCAGCCUUUAUUUCUCUCCAAUUCGUGUCAGCAGGUGGGUGCAGGGCCCUGCCGAAACCACACUCCCAACUCCAGAACCUGAGAGAGGGGAGGGAGGAGGCCUUGGGGGGAAGGGCUCUGGAAGGGGGAGCCUAUUUGUCUGCAAGGCUGGCUGAAGGGGCUUUGGAUUCUGGGAACCAACACAAGGAUGUGAGUCUUGAUUCACAUAUAAAAUAAUCACUUUGUACACUCUCAGGGAGGGGUGAAGACACAUAGACACUGUUGUCUGCUACACCUAGCUAGUUUUUCCCAAAGGAGCAAAAGCGGAGUUACUCAAAAAACCCUGUCCAUUAAAUGUUAUCUUCUACCAUCUGACACAUUCGCACAGAAGUGCUCUGAGAUCCCCCAGCCCUGAGGGAGGGACAGCAAGUGCCUGGGUAAUUAUCCUUAGUGACAUCUUUCUGGCUCAUGGGUGUGUGAGUGGGAGGGAUGAACAAAGAGGGAGGCCGAGUCCAGGAAACUCAAUCACCCAGCCAUGCAGGGCCAGUCACACUCAGGAGGGCACAGUGCCUGGGCACCAGGGACAUGGACAGCAGAUCCCUCCUCUUGGCAGAUGAGGCAACGCUAAGCUACUUGCUUAGAAGAGGGAAACCUGAGCUGGGGAAGGAAGCCAAGCUGAGGCAGGUAGCCCAGUGUCUCCUGGGAAAGGGGGUCCUUGCCAGCUCCUCCUCCGGGUGCCCUGUGUCCUCCCUGACCCUUCAACCCGCCCAGGGCCUACACACAGAAACAGAAACAGGCUCUGGCUCGCAGGACUGGAGGGCUAAGUGGAGGGGCCUGUCAGCCUUUCCGUGUACAGCUAGGCCCAGAUGGCCCCUUGGGCUUCCCUCUCUGAGGCCAAGCACGAUCCAGACAAGGCACUAGGCAAGAGGUCAGACUCAGCCCAAAGGGCCCCAGGAGUCCUCCUCAUUGUGGAGGUCCUGGUCACCAAGUAAAAGCCCAGCCUCUAGCAAGGGAAGCAUCUCCAGGACGUGCUAGGGGUGCAUGGGGAAGGGGCCCUGAAUCUCCCAUUUGUGCCAGCCCUGGCUUCUUGGCAGCCCCAGGCAGAACUUCUCAGGAGAGUCCAAGAGACACAGACAGCGAGCGCCCUGCUCAGAUGGAAGUGGGGACAGGGACCCCGAGUCUGGGCCUGGGUGUGGCUGUCCUGGCCUCAGACAGGGCCCGGUGGGCAGGUGGGCAGGUGGGCAGGUGCAGUGUCAGGAGAGGGAAGUGGGGCCAAAGCUUGGGCACCAUCAGUCUGAGGUUGUUGCUGGAGACUCCGCUCGGUUCCCAGCAUUCACUUCUGGUCCUUUUUUUCUGGAAGACAAAUC